CAGAGUUCAUGCCCUUCGGGGUAGAUCUCCCACCCUAUGUAUUUAUACCUUUGUUGCUUUGGUGGGCCGUUAGGCUUCGGCCCGGCUACCGGCUCACGCUGGUAAGUGCCCACCAGAGGACCUAAAACUCUGAAUGUUAAUGUCGUCUGAGUACUAUAUAAUAGUUA
rnacentral:misc_RNA from 1 species